UGGGGGGACAAAACUUUCCACCCUCUAAAAGGGACUAGUCCUUCAGAGCAAGACAAACUCAAAGAACUUUCUCUAUCAACACUAGAAUGUUAGGGACAAUGAGGAAAUGGGGGGGUCAUCCACUGCUACGCUGCUAGCUCUAAGGACAGUGCCCAGCAUAGACCAGAAGUCCAAGAUACUGUAUGUCUUUCUCAUUGGACUAAAAGUCAGCCUGGACUUUUCUACAAGGGGAGAUUAGGAGUAAGACUUCUUCAGGCAACUGACACAUUUGAUUAAACUAUAAGUUGUCAGCCUCUACUUCUAACUCCUGAGUAGAAGCCACUCCAAAGAACUAUGCAGUGAAGCUUGAUACAGGCUAAGUGAGGUCAUUCAAGGUCACAACAGGAAAAGAACAGAAAGAGUGAGCAGCUCAAGAAGGGAUUGUCCCACACACCAGAGCCAUCCUUCCAAAGGUAAAUUCAAUAUCCAUCUCAGAAGAUUCCAGCUGAUACUUGCUAAGAUGAAAUGAUUCCUCUCAUGUGAUUCUGUUUCUCAUCCCUGCGACUGUCUAUGCCUCUGUCCUCUGCUUACUCUUGAGUUUAAUUUACUUAUGAAUUUAAACCUCCAAAAUCUUUCAGUGAAGCAAUUUUUCCAGUUAAUAAACUGAAAUAAAUCCAUCUCUACCCUUUUCCCAUGAUUACCAAUUAUUUAAUCAAAAAAUUGAAAGAUAUCCCCAUUGUUGCAUAGCAGAACCAAUAUAGUCAAAAUGCC
rnacentral:lncRNA from 1 species